rnacentral:rRNA from 1 species
UUCAGCGGCGGACGGGUGAGUAAUGCCUAAGAAUCUGCCUGGUAGUGGGGGAUAACGUCCGGAAACGGGCGCUAAUACCGCAUACGUCCUGAGGGAGAAAGUGGGGGAUCUUCGGACCUCACGCUAUCAGAUGAGCCUAGGUCGGAUUAGCUAGUUGGUGGGGUAAAGGCCUACCAAGGCGACGAUCCGUAACUGGUCUGAGAGGAUGAUCAGUCACACUGGAACUGAGACACGGUCCAGACUCCUACGGGAGGCAGCAGUGGGGAAUAUUGGACAAUGGGCGAAAGCCUGAUCCAGCCAUGCCGCGUGUGUGAAGAAGGUCUUCGGAUUGUAAAGCACUUUAAGUUGGGAGGAAGGGCAGUAAGGUAAUACCUUGCUGUUUUGACGUUACCAACAGAAUAAGCACCGGCUAACUUCGUGCCAGCAGCCGCGGUAAUACGAAGGGUGCAAGCGUUAAUCGGAAUUACUGGGCGUAAAGCGCGCGUAGGUGGUUCAGCAAGUUGGAUGUGAAAUCCCCGGGCUCAACCUGGGAACUGCAUCCAAAACUACUGAGCUAGAGUACGGUAGAGGGUGGUGGAAUUUCCUGUGUAGCGGUGAAAUGCGUAGAUAUAGGAAGGAACACCAGUGGCGAAGGCGACCACCUGGACUGAUACUGACACUGAGGUGCGAAAGCGUGGGGAGCAAACAGGAUUAGAUAUCCUGGUAGUCCACGCCGUAAACGAUGUCGACUAGCCGUUGGGAUCCUUGAGAUCUUAGUGGCGCAGCUAACGCGAUAAGUC